rnacentral:rRNA from 1 species
GAUGAACGCUGGCGGCGUGCCUAAUACAUGCAAGUCGAGCGAACAGAUGAGGAGCUUGCUCCUCUGACGUUAGCGGCGGACGGGUGAGUAACACGUGGAUAACCUACCUAUAAGACUGGGAUAACUUCGGGAAACCGGAGCUAAUACCGGAUAAUAUAUUGAACCGCAUGGUUCAAUAGUGAAAGACGGUUUUGCUGUCACUUAUAGAUGGAUCCGCGCCGCAUUAGCUAGUUGGUAAGGUAACGGCUUACCAAGGCAACGAUGCGUAGCCGACCUGAGAGGGUGAUCGGCCACACUGGAACUGAGACACGGUCCAGACUCCUACGGGAGGCAGCAGUAGGGAAUCUUCCGCAAUGGGCGAAAGCCUGACGGAGCAACGCCGCGUGAGUGAUGAAGGUCUUAGGAUCGUAAAACUCUGUUAUUAGGGAAGAACAAAUGUGUAAGUAACUAUGAACGUCUUGACGGUACCUAAUCAGAAAGCCACGGCUAACUACGUG